UAGUCCACGCCCUAAACGAUGUUUACUCGAUGUUUGGACUUCGGUUUGAGCAUCCAAGGGAAACCAUUAAGUAAACCACCUGGGGAGUACGUUCGCAAGAAUGAGACUCAAAGGAAUUGACGGGGGCCCGCACAAGCGGUGGAGCAUGUGGUUUAAUUCGAUGAUACGCGAGGAACCUUACCAGGGCUUAAAUGUAGAUUGCAUUAGUUAGAGAUAGCUAUUUCUUCGGACUAUCUACAAGGUGCUGCAUGGUUGUCGUCAGCUCGUGCCGUGAGGUGUCAGGUUAAGUCCUAUAACGAGCGCAACCCCUGUUGUUAGUUGCCAACAUGUAAAGAUGGGAACUCUAACAAGACUGCCGGUGCAAACCGUGAGGAAGGUGGGGAUGACGUCAAAUCAUCACGGCCCUUACGUCCUGGGCUACACACGUGCUACAAUGGUAGGGACAGAGAGCAGCCACUUGGCGACAAGGAGCGAAUCUAUAAACCCUAUCACAGUUCGGAUCGGAGUCUGCAA
rnacentral:rRNA from 1 species